rnacentral:tRNA from 1 species
UGCCGAGUCGUCUAACGGUAGGACAGCGGCCUUUGGAGCCGUAUGCGGAGGUUCGAAUCCUCCCUCGGCAGCCA